CUGCUAGAGAAACCCCAACAGACAUCCUUCUCCCUAAACCAAAUGGAAAAAAACCCGAAAUUGCUGCCUCGAGGUAAUACGGCAAUGUACUUCCUGACCAUCAAGCCAACACACGAGGUUCCUAAUCUUAUAAUUUAAAGCAACCACAUCUACUACAUGCAGCAUUUAUUACCACUUUGACUUUUUUUAGCUGAUAACAUAUUCAUUCAUUACUUUAUGGAACUUAAAAUCUUAAAUCUUUAUCAAUUUCUUUAUCACUCGAUGAAGCUUUUCAAAAAUAUUUCUCAAAAGAAUUUUUCAAAAACAACGCUAAACUAUCUCGAAAUCCAAUUCCAAGCUCCUCAGUGCUAGUGUUGAGCUUCUGGUCUCAUUUCCUGCAAGUUGCCAAAACUGUGCGCAGAGAGAAGUCUUAAACGCACCGUUUUGGCCCAAGUCUUCUAUUUGAAAUGAUGCGUAUUGAUGGAGGCAGUUUGGCAGCUACCAAUAUGUUAUUUGGUCGGUCAUCUUCCCUAUUUUAGCACCAAUCAGGCAAAGGAGGAACGACUAUGCAAAUACAGUCCCAAUUUUUCUCAUUUUCUUCAUCUCCUUCUCGAUGUGAAAUUUUCUCUAGAUCUUCAUUCUUUAACAAAGGUGUCAGAGCUUCGUGAUCUUCAUGGCCAACAACGAUGUGACCACACGCUUACAAAACAACAUUAGCCAACUGCAAUAGGAGUUUUCUCAGCUGGAUAACAAACUUGCAUGCUCGAUUUAAGAAGAUGCAGACAUUGGCGGAGUUAAAAAAAAAAUUUUGGGGUCGAAAUUAAAUUGUACACUUUUGCGACAGUAAAAAUUAAAUUUCAUCAUUUUAAUAACAUAUAUCCUUAUAAUUUUUAAAGGGUCAAAUCAAA